CAUUUGUAAAUGUUUACUACCUAAAGCAUAAGCUGUUAAAAGAGGUUGAUAUGGUAAGGGUGCCUCUUAAAGAAGAAGAAAUUUUUACCUUGUUUAAUUCAAGUGACACCAACCUACAGGAACAAAAGAUUUGCAGGUGUUUCUGCAACUGCGAUGAUCUGGAGCCACUGCCCAGAGUGAGAAAUACAUUUUCUUUCCUAUAUUUUUCUCCAUACUUUAUAAAGGAGUACACCAGUCAUUUCUUUAAAAAAUCAAAGCCUCUAAGAGAUUUUGACUUUUAGAUGGACCCCGGAGAAUUCAGAAAUUAAGACACAAGUUUCCUCUCAUCUUGGAGGCUUGACUGAAGGAAAAAAAAAAAAAGGGCACAAAAUUCUCCCUUGAGGUUCAGGUUUUCACAUGAAAGUAGGUAGGAAGUAGAUCAUUCUGACUUCCACCAGAUGACCAGUGACCAGAGUGCAUGUUGCCUGUUGAGACUGUAAUUCUGUAAUUGUACCUAUUUCCCUGGCUUUUAGCUGCCUAGCUUUAGAUUUCUGAAAAUAAGUGACUUAGAGAUUGUUUCCUGAUUCCAACUAGGGCAGGGUCAAGGUCACUGGGCUUCUCAAGGAUCUGCCAAGGUCUCCUGAUGUCUCCCUGUGGCCAAGAAAAUGAUGAUGGGAGAUAGGGGGAAAGGAGCGGGGAGGACGACAGGCUCCUAUUUCAGAUGGGAAUUUUACAGCAUCUGAAGUUUAUUUUCGCUGAUGAGAAUUACAAAGUGCUCAUUAUUUCCAACCCGGACUUGGUCUAAGUAGUCUCUUCCCCCAGAGCAGGAUUGCUCACCUCUAGCUUUUGGGUCUUUCAGUGGUCACCUCGUCUAUAGUGCAUGCUCUGGAGGGGCAGCUCUCUCUACACACAGGGAUUUACACCCUCCCCCGCAACACAUAGACACAAAUGCCUCCACACGCCACGCAUGUGCUUACAAAACUCUGAGCAUCCACUCUUGUUCUGACACACUCUAAUGGAGCAUAGGUUCUACUGAGCUCCUGGAAAAUACCAACUUCCCAGGCAAGAGGUCAGAAUUAACAUUACACCUAAUUUUUGUUUCAUAGACACACUGUGCUGAGUAUUGUAGAGACAGCAUUUACAGGACGUUAGCAAAUACACUUUAGAAUAGAACAGGAUCAUCCAGUAUUUAUUCAGUUCCUACUAUGUGCCCAAAAGUAUGAUAGUAUGAAAAAGGAGGUUUUCUUCACUAUGGUUAAAAAAAAAAA